rnacentral:rRNA from 1 species
UCAGAAUCUGGUGAAAGACAAUUCUUUGGACCGGGUAUGAUCCAGGAGGCAGAAGAGCAAGUUCGCAUCAUUCGUGAGAAUUUGAAAACAGCCCAAUCUCGUCAAAAGAGCCAGUAUGACCGCCGUCAUUAG